rnacentral:rRNA from 1 species
UACGUAGGGUGCAAGCGUUAAUCGGAAUACUGGGCGUAAAGCGUGCGCAGGCGGCUUUGCAAGACAGAUGUGAAAUCCCCGGGCUUAACCUGGGAACUGCAUUUGUGACUGCAUGGCUGGAGUGCGGGCAGAGGGGGAUGGAAUUCCGCGUGUAGCAGUGAAAUGCGUAGAUAUGCGGAGGAACACCGAUGGCGAAGGCAACUCCCCUGGCCUGCACUGACGCUCAUGCACGAAGCGUGGGGAGCAAACAGG